UUUGCUUUAUUGCUGGAAGAGAAGUUACAGAUUGGAUGCAACAAAGCACAGAAUCAUUACAAAACAAAAAGUCAUAGGUACUUGUGACGAUAAGUACUUGUUGUCAGUCUGCCCGAUCUUGAUCAAAAUUAAGCCUGACAAUUUUGAUCGUUGGCAUUUACUUUUAGCCAAUUUCCUGACAGAACCACCACAACAAAAAAGUGAAAAAAAGAACUCCAAAUUUUGGGCUACGUGGGACACUCUCAGGCUUUUUGCUUGAUCCGAGUCUUGAAGCUACGAAUGAUGGGAGGAUCUGAAGAGAUGGACCUUGUCCAGGAAGGUUUCGUACCGGGACAGAGAUUAGACGGCAAGAGAAAGAAACCUGAGGAAAGUAGCAGGUGUCGCAGCAGCUAGUUAAGAUCCUUGUAGGAAAUUAUCCUCUCGUGUGUGCUGCAAAAUACCCAGUAGAGAGCAUAUGAUCC
rnacentral:lncRNA from 1 species